rnacentral:rRNA from 1 species
UACGAAGGGGGCUAGCGUUGCUCGGAAUUACUGGGCGUAAAGCGCACGUAGGCGGCUUUUUAAGUCGGGGGUGAAAUCCUGGAGCUCAACUCCAGAACUGCCUUUGAUACUGAAGAUCUUGAGUCCGGGAGAGGUGAGUGGAACUGCGAGUGUAGAGGUGAAAUUCGUAGAUAUUCGCAAGAACACCAGUGGCGAAGGCGGCUCACUGGCCCGGUACUGACGCUGAGGCACGAAAGCGUGGGGAGCAAACAGG